AUUGAACGCUGGCGGCAUGCCUUACACAUGCAAGUCGAACGGCAGCACGGGUGCUUGCACCUGGUGGCGAGUGGCGAACGGGUGAGUAAUACAUCGGAACAUGUCCUGUAGUGGGGGAUAGCCCGGCGAAAGCCGGAUUAAUACCGCAUACGAUCUACGGAUGACAGCGGGGGACCUUCGGGCCUCGCGCUAUAGGGUUGGCCGAUGGCUGAUUAGCUAGUUGGUGGGGUAAAGGCCUACCAAGGCGACGAUCAGUAGCUGGUCUGAGAGGACGACCAGCCACACUGGGACUGAGACACGGCCCAGACUCCUACGGGAGGCAGCAGUGGGGAAUUAUGGACAAUGGGCGAAAGCCUGAUCCAGCAAUGCCGCGUGUGUGAAGAAGGCCUUCGGGUUGUAAAGCACUUUUGUCCGGAAAGAAAUCCUUGGCUCUAAUACAGUCGGGGGAUGACGGUACCGGAAGAAUAAGCACCGGCUAACUACGUG
rnacentral:rRNA from 1 species